UUAACGAUAAUCCGACAUAUAAAUAUCAUCUUUGAAGAAUGAAGAAACAGUCGACAGCUAUGUGUUGCAUAUAAAAUUGAAAUUUCACAAAAAGUAGAUAUGCAAUAUCUACAGUGCAGUCUGAGCCAUCGACAUUCUUUCUCUUUUCCAAUCACGUCAGAAACAGCUCGCCGCGAUUAACCAUCAAACAAGAGGCCACCUGUCGUUUUUCAUUCCAUAUAUCGACCGAUAGAUUAGAGCGGGCGCGUCCUCUAAUCGCAAUCGAGCCUCAUUCCCCUUUCAGUGUUAACGGGCACGUGGCGAAUAAAGUCACGAGUAGCUAGGAGCAGUUCUUGUUCGAGAUCGUUUCGUGUGCCGAAUUAUCGCAAGCGUUCAACGAGGAACGCCACCUCCGGAGCGGCGAUGUAACCUCGUGACCCGAAUUUCGUACGUUGUACGGAACAACGAAUUUUGCAUACACCGACAAAUAAAUGUCCGUGACGCGUUGACGUACGCACACGCAACUCCGCCAGUAGAAUUGGUCAGUAAUUUUGCCGGUUCGCGUGAUUCGAUCUACGGAUGCAUUUUACCAGCAAUGUUUGCACGCGAAUCUACUUUGAAAAAGUAAAGAGGCCACGUGCUUUAGAAACCUUCCCUUAAAGGAGCGUUUAGGCCGAACGAGCAGAAGAACAUAGAGCGAGAGUAUUCGCGCUUGUAUUCGUUUAGCGUGAGCAGUAACCGAGCAAUUUGUUCGCAAACAUAUUUAUAUUUCUGUUCCUCUUUGCUUUAAAUGCUAACUGAUAAUUUACAGUUUGUUCGAUACACGAACAUUGGGGUAAGAGUGACCGAGAAAUGGGACUUUUUUGGAUUUCAGUUUGGUAACUUAGUGAUGAUUUGUAAUGAAACAUCGAUUACAGAACAUUUUUAAUUCGUGCAGACAAUUAGUCUCAGAUACAAGGGGCCAAACUGUUGAAUUACGCUUCCAGUUUUGUUCCUUUCACGUUUGUUAAAAAGAUCCCAGGAUAAUGGAAGACGUCAAUCAACUGUUGGCUGUGUUGCAGUUACAUUGAGACACUUGUAUGGUUCCUUAGAUAUGGUCAAAUAUCCGUGGGAUACAUAUACUCAAUUCCAAUAUAUGUAUAUAUGUAAUAAAUAAUUCUGGUCAUUUGCUUAGUUCUUACGAUUCAAGAAUUAAAAGUAGGACUGGGGCAAUCAAAACCUUGAAACCUCAAAACCUUACAACUGUUCUAAACCCAAGACUUUGUACUAUUUUGGUGCUUCGAAACUCUCAUAAUCCAAAUAAAUAAUAAUUUAUAUAAAUCAAUGUGCUAGCGAAACGAAAUCGAUUGAUGACUCGACCGCACCAGAUCCUUCUGCUGGCGUGACUGGCUUUUCGGGCAAGAUGUUAAUGAGAAGGUGCCGGUGAUACACCUGCGCAGCUGCGGGCUCGAAACGCUCGACCGACCGGGCGCUAGAUGGUGUAAAGAAGACGACCACCAGCGAGCCCAGUCGUAGCGCGCUGUCCGGCCGGAUUGCUUUUCGUAGAAUUCCACAAUCACUGGAUUGCACCAGGGCGUAAUAGCAUGCCCUAUCGCAAUUUCCACGUAGAUUCUCCAGUUCUUGGGAAUUUCAGCUGAUUAACAGGGAAUUUUGUAUUAGUUUCUUUAUCUAUUUUUUGUUAUAUGCAUAGGUUAUAGGAACUGUUCACAAUUGUACAAUAAAAAUGAAUAGCAAAAAAUA